rnacentral:rRNA from 1 species
AGCGAACGUUAGCGGCGGGCCUAACACAUGCAAGUCGAGCGAGAAAGGGACUUCGGUCCUGAGUAAAGCGGCGGACGGGUGAGAAAUACGUAGGUAACCUGCCUUUCAGUGGGGGACAACGGUCCGAAAGGACCGCUAAUACCGCAUACGUCGUCCGGGAUCUCGAUUCUGGACGGGAAAGCUGGGGCAACCUGGCGCUG